AAAUACCAAGACUCAUUGCAACUUCAAUAUCAACAUUUCUCAAUUUUCCAUCCACUCUCAUUUAAAGGUACUUGAGACAUCAACCCAUAGUAGGGAUAUAGAAUUUCCAAUAUCAAUUAUAAAUUCAUAAUAAGGAAAUAGUGGAAUGAUAGUAUAAAUCAAGGCUUAACAAAUUAAAUCAUCAUACUCUCAUAAUCAAAUACUUUUUGGACAUAAUUCCAUCUCAACAUCAUACACAUAUCGGAUGACAUAAUCCCAUAGCUCAUGGACAAUAAUAUAAGAUAUAAAACCAUAUUUCCAAUUCAUGGUAAAACAUGUAAAAUCUCAUGUCAAUGUAAUUCAACAAAAAUA
rnacentral:lncRNA from 1 species